ACAGUACUCCUUCCGAUCCAUAUUAAUUGUCAAAAUAUUAAAUUUAUCUAAUCUAGACGUUUUUUAGUUAUAGAUACAUCCGUAUUUAGACAAAUUUGAGACAAUUAAUAUGGAUUGGAGGGAGUACUUU
rnacentral:pre_miRNA from 1 species